AGAGUUUGAUCAUGGCUCAGAAUCAACGCUGGCGGCGUGCCUAACACAUGCAAGUCGAACGAGAAAGUCCGCAAGGAUGAGUACAGUGGCGACCGGGUGAGUAACACGUGACUAACCUACCUCUUAGUGGGGAAUAACUCCGGGAAACCGGAGCUAAUACCGCAUAACACCGCAAGGUCAAAGCAGCAAUGCGCUGGGAGAGGGGGUCGCGGCUGAUUAGCUAGUUGGUAGGGUAACGGCCUACCAAGGCAAAGAUCGGUAUCCGGCCUGAGAGGGCGCACGGACACACUGGAACUGAAACACGGUCCAGACUCCUACGGGAGGCAGC
rnacentral:rRNA from 1 species